GAUGAACGCUAGCGGGAGGCCUAACACAUGCAAGCCGAGCGGUAGAGUCUCUUCGGAGACUUGAGAGCGGCGCACGGGUGCGGAACACGUGUGCAACCUGCCUUUAUCUGGGGGAUAGCCUUUCGAAAGGAAGAUUAAUACCCCAUAAUAUACUGGAUGGCAUCAUCUGGUAUUGAAAACUCCGGUGGAUAGAGAUGGGCACGCGCAAGAUUAGAUAGUUGGUGAGGUAACGGCUCACCAAGUCAGCGAUCCUUAGGGGGCCUGAGAGGGUGAUCCCCCACACUGGUACUGAGACACGGACCAGACUCCUACGGGAGGCAGCAGUGAGGAAUAUUGGACAAUGGGUGAGAGCCUGAUCCAGCCAUCCCGCGUGAAGGACGACGGCCCUAUGGGUUGUAAACUUCUUUUGUAUAGGGAUAAACCUAGAUACGUGUAUCUAGCUGAAGGUACUAUACGAAUAAGCACCGGCUAACUCCGUG
rnacentral:rRNA from 1 species